AAACUGGACCAUGGAAACUGCCCACACCUCCACCCGCGCGAGCAGGGGAACGAGGAGACGGCGGCGCCCUGGCAAGUCCCCUCGCCGGCCGUCCUCCUGCUCCGGUAUUCGGCAGAUCCGUCCUCUCCUCCUCCUCCCCUGCGGUUGCCCCCCUAGCCGGCCCUCCUCCUCCUCCGCUGCUGGCUUCUCCUCUGCCCGUGGCCGCCAUGGCCUUGCCCGAGCCGUCCGCCGCCGCUCCAGCUCCUACUCCCGUGCUCCAGCUUCCCUCCCGUGCUCCCCUGUCCCUCCUCCUCUGCCUUGUGCCUGCGGUGUCCCAACCUCCUCUGGUCCAUAGCCACCAGAUCCAGCCGCCCCCUCUUCUUCCCCUGCCUCUCUACUCUUUCUUCUUCAUAUACUCAAGUCUCACUCCCUGCCUCUCCUCUUCUUCCCAGCAACCAAUUGCUUAGCAUUAUAAUCCUUGGUGGAGAAGUUCCAUGCAAAUGCUGUCAGUGCCUACUUGGGUUUCUACUUCCGCAAAUACCAUCAGAUAAUCCUUGGUGGAGAAGCUCCAUGGAAAAACUAUUUGCUAUACUGUCAGUGCCUACUUGGGUUUCUACUUUCGCAAAUACCAUCAGAUAAUCCUUGGUGGAGAAGCUCCAUGGAAAAACUAUUUGCUAUACUGUCAGUGCCUACUUGGGUUUCUAGCAUAAAAAAGUUGACGCUAGAUCACAUAUGAGAAAUCAGUGGAUUUCUUGAAUGGUCACUUAUUUUCAAUCUGCAAUCUUCUGUGUUGGUCUGAGAAACUGUACCUAAUCUGAUAUGGAUGUUCUGUGUAA